rnacentral:rRNA from 1 species
GACGAACCGUACGAACGUUAUUCGGAAUUAUUGGGCUUAAAGGGUGCGUAGGCUGUGCAGAAAGUUGGGUGUGAAAUCCCCUGGCUUAACCAGGGAAUUGCGCUCAAAACUACUGCGCUGGAGGAAGACAGAGGUAAGCGGAACUUCGGGUGGAGCGGUGAAAUGCGUUGAUAUCCGAAGGAACACCGGUGGCGAAAGCGGCUUACUGGGUCUUUUCUGACGCUGAGGCACGAAAGCUAGGGUAGCGAACGGG